rnacentral:rRNA from 1 species
GUCUAAGGCCACAACACCCUGAAGGUGCCUGAUCUUGUCUGAUCUUAGAAGCUAAGCAGGGUUGAGCCUGGUUAGUACUUGGAUGGGAGACAAAAGUCAACUAGUUUUCUGAAAAGUGAAGAUAGCCCAGGAGC